rnacentral:snRNA from 1 species
AUGCUUCAGCAGCACAUGUACUAAAAUUGGAAUGAUCCAGAGAAGAUUAGCAGGGCCCCUGCAAGGAUGACACGCAAAUUCAUGAAGUUUUCCAUAUUUUU